GAUGAACGCUGGCGGCGUGCUUAACACAUGCAAGUCGAACGGGAAUUAUUUUAUUGAAACGUCGGUCGAUUUAAUUUAAUUCUAGUGGCGGACGGGUGAGUAACGCGUGGGUAACCUGCCUUAUACAGGGGGAUAACAGUCAGAAAUGGCUGCUAAUACCGCAUAAGCGCACAGAGCUGCAUGGCUCAGUGUGAAAAACUCCGGUGGUAUAAGAUGGACCCGCGUUGGAUUAGCUGGUUGGUGGGGUAACGGCCCACCAAGGCGACGAUCCAUAGCCGGCCUGAGAGGGUGAACGGCCACAUUGGGACUGAGACACGGCCCAGACUCCUACGGGAGGCAGCAGUGGGGAAUAUUGCACAAUGGGGGAAACCCUGAUGCAGCGACGCCGCGUGAAGGAAGAAGUAUCUCGGUAUGUAAACUUCUAUCAGCAGGGAAGAUAGUGACGGUACCUGACUAAGAAGCCCCGGCUAACUACGUG
rnacentral:rRNA from 1 species